rnacentral:pre_miRNA from 1 species
UUUAUACUCCCUCCGUUCGGAAUUACUUGUCGCAAAAAUGGAUGUAUCUAGACGUCUUUUAGUUCUAGAUACAUCCAUUUUCGAGACAAGUAAUUUCGAACGAAGGGAGUAGUUG